UACGUAGGGGGCAAGCGUUGUCCGGAUUUAUUGGGCGUAAAGCGCUCGCAGGUGGUCCGAUACGUCGUGCGUGAAAGCCCCCGGCUCAACUGGGGAGUGUCGUGCGAUACGGUCGGACUGGAGGCCAGUAGGGGGAUGCGGAAUUCCGGGUGUAGUGGUGGAAUGCGUAGAGAUCCGGAGGAACACCAGCGGCGAAGGCGGCAUUCUGGACUGGUCCUGACACUCAUGAGCGAAAGCGUGGGGAGCGAUCCGG
rnacentral:rRNA from 1 species